rnacentral:lncRNA from 1 species
GAGGCUUGAGAUGGGACGGCUGGCAGCUACUUAGUGUGGCUAGUUUCAUUUUAUUUAUUUAAAGAAUGAAGAGGUGAUUAGUUUGGAGUAGGUGAGGGUGUACGAUGGUUUAUUUGGUUAGAAGAAUUUUUAUUCAUUGAUUGGAGGAAUAUAAGUGUCAAGCCGUCAUGUUCAUAAAGCUUUAUUUUUUUGUUUUGGGUUUCAAUUGAAGAAAGACUUCUAGGGAAUAGGCAUUUGGCUGCCAAGUUUAGUUUUCUUUUAAUAAAAAAAAAAGAAAGUUGUUGUUAGGAAGGAAUUAAUGGAGGUGGCGCUGCUUAAUUGAUUUUAGGAGUACAUGGUGUGAUGUUAGUUGGGAGGCAAUUGUGUGAAGGAAAUGUUAAUUCCUUUGUUUUGGAGAAAGCACUAUCACGUCUUGGAAUGCCACGGUUGAGGCAUUUCUUGGAGAAAUGAAAUAGCACAUUUCAGACUUGGUCAGCAUGAGGUGGCGUUCAUCUUCCUUGCUUUUAAUGCAUUCAUGGUGAUUCAAUUUGAUUGGGAUGCCACGGUGCUUUAUGUGAAGACAUGGUUGC